GCGUGUGGUGAUCGCACCUGUAGUCCCAACUACUCAGGAGGCUCAGCCCGCUGGAUUGCUGAUCCCAGGAGUUCUGGGGCUGCAGUACGCUAUGCCAAGAGGGUGUCUGCGCUAAGGCCAGCAUCAAUAAGGUGAGCCCCCAGGAAGCCAGGGCACACCAGUGUUGACUAAGGGAGGGAUGAACUGGCCCAUGUAGAGACGAAAGGUCAGAGCUCCCUGGCCGUCAGUAAGGGGAUCGCACCUGUGAAUAGCCACUGCAGCAUAGCAUGGGCAACAUUGAGAGACGCGGGGA
rnacentral:SRP_RNA from 1 species